rnacentral:rRNA from 1 species
UACGAAGGGUGCAAGCGUUAAUCGGAAUUACUGGGCGUAAAGCGCGCGUAGGUGGUUCAGUAAGUUGGAAGUGAAAUCCCCGGGCUCAACCUGGGAACUGCUUUCAAAACUGCUGAGCUAGAGUACGGUAGAGGGUGGUGGAAUUUCCUGUGUAGCGGUGAAAUGCGUAGAUAGGAAGGAACACCAGUGGCGAAGGCGACCACCUGGACUGAUACUGACACUGAGGUGCGAAAGCGUGGGGAGCAAACAGG